rnacentral:snRNA from 1 species
AUCGCUUCUCGGCCUUUUGGCUAAGAUCAAGUGUAAAAUCAAAAAAAUUAAAAAUUAUCUUCCAGCAUCU